AUUGAACGCUGGCGGCAUGCCUUACACAUGCGAGUCGAACGGUAACAGGUCUUCGGAUGCUGACGAGUGGCGAACGGGUGAGUAAUACAUCGGAACGUGCCUAGUGGUGGGGGAUAACUACUCGAAAGAGUGGCUAAUACCGCAUGAGAUCUACGGAUGAAAGCAGGGGAUCGCAAGAACUUGUGCUACUAGAGCGGCCGAUGGCAGAUUAGGGAGUUGGUGGGAUAAAAGCUUACCAAGCCGACGAUCUGUAGCUGGUCUGAGAGGACGAUCAGCCACACUGGGACUGAGACACGGCCCAGACUCCUACGGGAGGCAGCAGUGGGGAAUUUUGGACAAUGGGCGAAAGCCUGAUCCAGCAAUGCCGCGUGCAGGAUGAAGGCCUUCGGGUUGUAAACUGCUUUUGUACGGAACGAAAAGCCCCGGGUUAAUACCCUGGGGUCAUGACGGUACCGUAAGAAUAAGCACCGGCUAACUACGUGCCAGCCGCCGCCGUAA
rnacentral:rRNA from 1 species